rnacentral:rRNA from 1 species
UACGAAGGGGGCUAGCGUUGCUCGGAAUCACUGGGCGUAAAGGGUGCGUAGGCGGGUCUUUUAAGUCAGGGGUGAAAUCCUGGAGCUCAACUCCAGAACUGCCUUUGAUACUGAAGAUCUUGAGUUCGGGAGAGGUGAGUGGAACUGCGAGUGUAGAGGUGAAAUUCGUAGAUAUUCGCAGGAACACCAGUGGCGAAGGCGGCUCACUGGUCCGAUACUGACGCUGAGGUGCGAAAGCGUGGGGAGCAAACAGG